rnacentral:lncRNA from 1 species
UGAGUUUUGCAUUAUUUUAGGACUAUAUUUGGGAUAUAAUCCAUGACUGGACAUGGCCUUACUAUUGCACAAUUUGACCAAGUCAAAAGCCGUGUUUCGUCAACAGUCGAUGUACACUUAUACAUUUUUAUAAAGCUUAAUUACACUAAUGCCCCUGAAACUUCAAUCAAAUCCCAUUUUGCCCCCUCAAACUUAAAAUGACCCACUUUCAUUCCUUGACAGAGGUUUGGUGACCCACUUUGCCUCCUGCCAUCAACUCCAUCUAAAAAUUUGUUAACUUUGAUGACGUGGCAAGUAGAGCCUACUUGUACAUAAAUAAAAACAUAAUUAAAUAUUCUAAAAAUUAAAAAUAAAAAUAAAAACAUUUAAAAAAACCAAGAAACUAAAAAUUAAUAGCAGAGUCCAGCCCACCUUACUCUCCUCGACAAUCACCUCCCUAACCCAUUCAAUUACCACCACCACCUCAUACAACCUUUAGCUUUAUAACCUCCUUCUCUAAUUCAGUCACAAUCUCUCCCUAGCUUUAUUCUCACAUUCUCAAAGAACUCACCAACAAAUAGACAACUAGCCCAGCUUUCUAUCCCUU